CCUACGGGUGGCAGCAGUGGGGAAUAUUGCACAAUGGGGGAAAGCCUGAUGCAGCAACGCCUCGUGAGUGAUGAAGGACUUCGUGAUGUAAAGCUCUGUCCUCAGGGAAGAUAAUGACGGUACCUGAGGAGGAAGCCCCGGCUAACUACGUGCCAGCAGCCGCGGUAAUACGUAGGGGGCUAGCGUUAUCCGGAUUUACUGGGGGUAAAGGGUGCGUAGGGGGUGGUUAAAGUCAGAGGUGAAAGGCUACGGCUAAACCGUAGUAAGCCUUUGAAACUGGGGCACUUGAGUGAAGGAGAGGAGAGUGGAAUUCCUAGUGUAGCGGUGAAAUGCGUAGAUAUUAGGAGGAACACCAGUGGCGAAGGCGGCUCACUGGACUGUAACUGACGCUGAGGCACGAAAGCGUGGGGAGCAAACAGGAUUAGAUACCCGAGUAGUC
rnacentral:rRNA from 1 species